UCUGUUGCAGCAUUUAGGAUUAGAGAACGUCUCCUCUCAUGGUGUAUAUCUGCUUUAUAUUCUGAGCAGUCUGGAGCUCCAGCUGAAGAGAAAUGACUCAGAGGACUUAAAGCUGAGACAGACUGAGCACGCUCAGUUGCUGCUUCACCUGCCCCACCUCACACAGCUGACAGACAGGAUCACAUGGAGCAGAGGCCUGGACUACAAAGCAGGAUUUGGCGAUACCGAGUUAACUUCAGGUUCAACCAGGGUUUUCUGUACCACGACGGUGGAUCACCUGUUACCGGGUUCAAUCACCAAUCAAUACUCUGAUUGAUAACGGUGUCACCGUUCUUAUAGAAGAUCAGGCGGAGAGAGAGAGAGAGAGAGAGAGAGAGAGAGAGAGAGAGAGAGAGAG